GUCUAUUUUCAUCAGCGAUUUCGUUGAUGGAUGCAUCUACAAUCCUGUCUGAUAAUGCUUCAUACUGCAUCUUUCAUUGUGUGAAUGUAAAAUGUGAUUAGGAAGGAUUUAAUUAUAAUUUUGUGCUUGAUGGCAAAACAAAUAAACUGAAGAUGAAUUAGCAGGAGACAAAGGCAUGUUCCUUUUAAUUUCUUCCAUGUGUUGAUUGUGUUAACAUUGCUACCUGAAUCUGAGCUUGUCUUAUCACUCACUUGUUCUUCAGAUUUACAAUUCAGAUUUACUACAGCAAUUUUCAGUCAAAGUCACAACUCUGUUGUUUGUUUACUAAGAAUGGUUUUCUUGAGAAAUCUUUUCACGACUAUUAAAAGUAGGUCUUGCUUCAUCUACCACUCACAACUACUUUAGUUAAGCCUUAAACUUGUCCCAUCCCAUUUCUUCUUUGGCAUCUGUUUCUAAUUGUUUAGUUUCAAUGAUAGGUUGGCUCUGUUUACUCAUUGGUCUGAGUGAGCUGAUAUGCUUUGAAUAAUAAAUCUAUUAGAUCCAUCCACCUAUUUUAAGUUUUAGAGUCUGAGGGUCGAUUUCAUCAGCAUUUUGGUUUGGUGAAAGCUGGAGAUAUCUGCCUCAUUAUUCUAUUACUGUAAAAAGUAAAGUUGUCAUUCCUGGUAAAAGAAUCUUGUUUUAGUGGAAAAGGCUGGCUGAAUUAAUAGGAAAAAAUGAGUAAAUGCAUAUUGUCAAGCUAUAUAUGAAGUAGUCGCGUUUUAAUGGUUGGCGACACGAGAUAUGACUUUCCGAUUCUUAUAUAACACGCCUAGUCUUGUGCAUUCCAAAUUGAAAUAAGGAAUUUAGGGUUUUUCGCCGCCACUGCUGCUAUUCCAUUUACAUAGCAGCAGAAGAGGUAAGCAUUACCCCCUACGUUUUUCUUUCCAUUACAAUUAGUUUGUUUGAUCUUCGUAUCAAAAUAACUGGUCAUCUAUUUUAUGGUUUCUUCUUUUGGAUAGAAGCUUGGAAUCGGAGAUUUUGUUCUCUUCUUACCGAGAGGUUUCUUUGAAUUCCCUGUACUGAUUUAUUGCACUAGACUGUAAUAAUAGAUCUAUGCAAUAUUAAGUGUAUCUUAGUUAGAUCUGGCAAUUCAUGAUGCCGUGUAUCAACUUUUCAUGUUUUGGUUAUCCAUUUUGUGCCUUUCCAUAAUC